CCUACGGGUGGCAGCAGUGGGGAAUAUUGCACAAUGGGCGCAAGCCUGAUGCAGCCAUGCCGCGUGUGUGAAGAAGGCCUUCGGGUUGUAAAGCACUUUCAGCGGGGAGGAAGGCGGUAAGGUUAAUAACCUUGUCGAUUGACGUUACCCGCAGAAGAAGCACCGGCUAACUCCGUGCCAGCAGCCGCGGUAAUACGGAGGGUGCAAGCGUUAAUCGGAAUUACUGGGCGUAAAGCGCACGCAGGCGGUCUGUCAAGUCGGAUGUGAAAUCCCCGGGCUCAACCUGGGAACUGCAUUCGAAACUGGCAGGCUAGAGUCUUGUAGAGGGGGGUAGAAUGCCAGGUGUAGCGGUGAAAUGCGUAGAGAUCUGGAGGAAUACCGGUGGCGAAGGCGGCCCCCUGGACAAAGACUGACGCUCAGGUGCGAAAGCAUGGGGAGCAAACAGGAUUAGAUACCCGUGUAGUC
rnacentral:rRNA from 1 species